AUACGGAGGGUGCGAGCGUUAAUCGGAAUUACUGGGCGUAAAGCGUGCGUAGGCGGUUAUUUAAGUCAGAUGUGAAAGCCCCGGGCUCAACCUGGGAACUGCAUUUGAAACUGGAUAACUAGAGUUUGGUAGAGGUGAGUAGAAUUCCUAGUGUAGCGGUGAAAUGCGUAGAUAUUAGGAGGAAUACCAGUGGCGAAGGCGGCUCACUGGACCAAAACUGACGCUGAGGUACGAAAGCGUGGGGAGCAAACGGGAUUAGAAACCCCGGUAGUCC
rnacentral:rRNA from 1 species